UACGGGGGGGGGCAAGCGUUGUUCGGAAUUACUGGGCGUAAAGGGUUCGUAGGUGGCCAACUAAGUCAUACGUGAAAUCCCUCAGCUUAACUGGGGAACUGCGUCUGAUACUGGUUGGCUUGAGUGCAGGAGAGGAACGCGGAAUUCCAGGUGUAGCGGUGAAAUGCGUAGAUAUCUGGAGGAACACCGGUGGCGAAGGCGGCGUUCUGGACUGCAACUGACACUGGAGGAACGGAAAGCCAGGGGAGCAAACGGG
rnacentral:rRNA from 1 species